GAUGAACGCUGGCGGCGUGCCUAAUACAUGCAAGUCGAGCGAACAGAUAAGGAGCUUGCUCCUCUGACGUUAGCGGCGGACGGGUGAGUAACACGUGGGUAACCUACCUAUAAGACUGGGAUAACUUCGGGAAACCGGAGCUAAUACCGGAUAAUAUUUUGAACCGCAUGGUUCUAAAGUGAAAGAUGGUUUUGCUAUCACUUAUAGAUGGACCCGCGCCGCAUUAGCUAGUUGGUAAGGUAACGGCUUACCAAGGCAACGAUACGUAGCCGACCUGAGAGGUGAUCGGCCACACUGGAACUGAGACACGGUCCAGACUCCUACGGGAGGCAGCAGUAGGGAAUCUUCCGCAAUGGGCGAAAGCCUGACGGAGCAACGCCGCGUGAGUGAUGAAGGGUUUCGGCUCGUAAAACUCUGUUAUUAGGGAAGAACAAACGUGUAAGUAACUGUGCACGUCUUGACGGUACCUAAUCAGAAAGCCACGGCUAACUACGUG
rnacentral:rRNA from 1 species